AUUGUCUCAGUUACGGCGAGUGAAGCGACAGCAGCUCAAAUUUGAAAUUCGACUCUCUCGCGCGGAGACCCGAGUUGUAAUUUGAAGAGAGCGCUUCGAGACGCGCCGCCGAUUCAAGUCUCUUGAAACAGAGCGUCACGAAAAAUGAGAGUCUCGUUCGCGAUCGACGAUCGAUUCCCGCGCGAAGCCCCUUCGACGAGUCGAGUUGUUUGAGAAUGCAGCUUCAAGCGAGUGAUAAAUUUCAUCUAAAGCUAAAUAUCGGCCGAAGACCGAUNGCGCACAAAUAAAGUGAUCGAAAGAUGAAAAGCACUUUGAAAAGAGAGUCAAACAGCACGUGAAAUUGUUGAAAGCGAAGCGCUGACCCUCAGACUCGCGCGCGAGCGAUCACCCGUCGACUCCGAUCGCGGAGCACUCGCUCGCGUCUCGAGUCAGCACGAAUUCGAGCGACGAAAGAAAGAACCUGAGAAUGUAGCUUUCUUCGAAGUGCCUUAUAGUUCGAGCCGUCAUGCCGCCCGCUCGGACCGAGGAUCGCGUUUCUCGAGACGAGAAUGCUGACGUAAUGAAAGUCAGCGACUCGUCUUGAACACGGAUCAAGGAGUCUAACGUCUUCGCGAGUGUUUGAGCGUCAAACUUCGACGCGAAAUGAAAGUGAACGCAGGUGAGAGUUCCUUCCUCGAGAGAAGCGCAUCAUCGAUCGAUUCAGAUGUCUUCGAAUGAAUUUGAGUACGAGCGCGACCGUUGAGACUCGAAAUAUGAUGAACUAUGCCUGAGUAGAGUGAAGUCGUAGAAAACUCUGAUGAAGACUCGCAGCGAUUCUGACGUGCAAAUCGAUCGUCAAACCUGAACAUAGAGACGAAAGACUAAUCGAAUC
rnacentral:rRNA from 1 species